GAUGAACGCUGGCGGCGUGCCUAAUACAUGCAAGUCGAGCGAACAGACGAGGAGCUUGCUCCUCUGUCGUUAGCGGCGGAGGGGUGAGUAACACGUGGAUAACCUCCCUAUAAGAGUGGGAUAACUUCGGGAAACGGGAGAUAAUAGCGGAUAAUAUCUUGCACCGCGUGGUGCAAUAGUGAAAGACGGCUUUGCUGUCACUACUAGCUGGAUACGCGCCGGAUUAGCUGGUUGGUAAGGUAACGGCCUACCAAGGCAACCAUGCGUAGGCGAGCUCAGGGGGUGAUCGGCCACCUUGGAGCGUAGACACGGUCCUGACUCCUACGGGAGGCAGCAGUAGGGAAUCUUCCGCAAUGGGCGAAAGCCUGACGCAGCAGCGCCGCGUGAGUGAUGAAGGUCUUCGGAUCGUAAAACUCUGUUAUUAGUGAAGAACAAAUGUGUAAGUAACUAUGCACGUCUUGACGGUACCUAAUCAGAAAGCCCCGGCUAACUACGUG
rnacentral:rRNA from 1 species